ensembl:lncRNA
GUCACAGGAGGGAGAGAGCAUUGUUAGAUCCAUGGACAUGCAAGGAGAGGGAUGCUCCUGCAGAAGCAUGGUCCCCAACUAUAAAGGCAGCAUUGAAUCACAGAAUCAUUGAAAAGGUUGGAAAGCCAAUAAGAACAUCUAGUCCAACAAUCAACCCAUGCCUGUGACUGCUCAAGACCAUGUCAUCCAUGGAUACAAAAGGGUUUUCCUUUCGGACAAUAUGAAACAAAGUGCUUGGUGGGAUCAGACCAAGCAGCAGAGCCUUGCUUUGGAGCAGCUGCUCGUGCCACGUUGUUUUGUUUGCUGAUGUCCUUGGGCUCUGCAACCUGACAGAAUGCUGCAUUCCUGGUGCUCCUGCUUUGCAUUGGGAUCAAACUGAAAGCUGGUAUCUGGUGCCAAGAGGAAGGAGAGCUUUGGAUUUUUGACCCUGAGCAUGGAGCUCUCACUGUUGGGCUGUGAGCUCUUCACAGCAUGAAGAAAGCACGAUUCACUGCUGUAACGGAGUUCUUCAGAAAAAAAAACGUGUUGUAUCCUGGGUAUGAAAUGCCUAAUCAAAUCAUGUUUACUGCUCAGCACUACACUGC